GGUUUAAAAAAAAAGAAGAAGAAGAAGAAGAAGAAAUUGGAGCCCUUUCAGGCUCAUACCCAGGGCUUUCAAUAUCACAGAGUGCCCACCUUCUCCCCCCACCCCCUCCCCCGACCGGGGUACGUGCCCCCCUCCCCAGUUCAACAGCACCCACGUUAAGAAGUAGCGCGAGAGGGACGCCAGGGGGAGAUGAAGAGCUACAGGGGCUGAUGUUUGCUGAGAACAAAAAACAAAAAACAAAAAAAAAGAAAAACAACAACAAAAAAAGCUAAAGCCCUGGCUGCCCAAGAACCCCAAGGAAGGCAGCCUGAGAUGGGAGCAGAGCGAGCAAGGGCGCCUCCUGUGACAAAGGGGUGCCCCCCCAGAAGGUUCACUUACUCCCUGCAGCUUUUCCAGAUCGAUCCCCGCCCCUCCCCAGCUCAAGAUUUGCUUCUUGAGGGCAAAGGGGAGUUCUUGUAAAGGGUUGGGUGGAUAUGAAGUGAGGGUGGUGUUGGGAAGGAGGAAAUGGCCAUGCUGAAUGAGAAGACCGCAUAAUACCUCACACUUAAUAGCACGUUUACACUUUCAAAGCAAUUUCUGUCUGUUUGCCCUUGAAAUCCUAACACACACACACACACACACACACACACACACACACACACACCCGCCCCGCGCAGGACGUACCCACAGGGCAGCCACUGUGCAGUUGAAUGUGCUGUAAGGUACCAAGCAAAAGAAAUGUAAGGCAUUGGCUUUUUCCGGUAGCCUCGUUUUUCAGGUGGGGAAAACGAGGCACCCACAGCUCCCACGCUCUACCAAAGUCCUUGCACUGUGCGGAGGAAAGCAGAGGCCAGAAGUUUAGAACAUCUUCCCUGCAUGGGAGAAAGGCCUCCUUUGCUGCCAAGAAGCUUUCAGAAAUUUGGAACAUCUUUCUCAAAUACACCCUUCUCCACCUCAUCCCAGAUGAAACCUGGAUUUCCCCUGAUGACAUCAUUUUUCCUAUAAUCCGCAAGUAAAAAAGAAAAGACAUUACUUUCCAUUCCACUCCUGGCUGUGAAGAUUUGGUUGAUGGUGAUGAUGUAGUUUCAGUGAAACAAACAAUCUUACCAACUGAAAUUUUGUGCUCUGCUGGGGUAAGAUGCUUUCUCUACACUUUGAGAAUCACACUUGAGAUUUUUACUUUUAAAAUUUUUAUUUUACUUAAAAUCUUUAUUUUUUUAAUUUUUUACAUUCACUUAUGCUUUUAUUUCUAAUAUAUUUUGCAUUCAAAUAAAUCAUUUGAUAAAAAUCUCUCCUUAAGGCUU
rnacentral:lncRNA from 12 species